GAGUAGCGGUCGAUGAGUGUGGGCACUUGUUAGUCACCGUAAAACCAACUCCAAAUUUUUUUUACAUUUGUUUAUAGUAAUAAAAAUCAAUGCAUCAAUUUUCCAUAUUAUUGUGGUGACGUUGUCUUGAUAGCAUUAUAAACUAAUAACACUUUUUUCAUUAUAGUUACGUAGCAUAAAGAACGUUUGAUCUACUCCAUCAUUUGUCAGCUCUAGACAUCUUGGUUUGUCGUUCAUGAUAAUCCAUAAAUUUCAUGCAUUCCUUGUCGGGGUCAAAAUCGGUCACGACGGAAUCAAUGUCUGAAACUCUGUAAAAAUCGGCAUGAACG
rnacentral:lncRNA from 1 species